AUCGUUUUUCAUGGAGUCCUUGUUUUUCUUCACCUGGCUUUCUUGUGGUUUUUCAUGGUUCUUGUUUUUGGACUGCUUUCCUUGUUAUUUGACCUCUAGGCUGUUUUUGGAUUUAAAACACUGCAAUUGGAUCUCUCGUUUCCUGUGUGCAUUCAUUACAGGGGAAAACUCCGAAGUUGUUUCAGCUGGACACUUUCAAGAUGAUGGUUGAUACAAAAUGCAGAAGACAUCAAAAUCAGGGGAGAAGGAUGGAGGAUGCAGUGACGUGGGACUCGUAGGCAGCCACCCCUCCUCUACACAGCAGAGCAGGAUGGCCGCCCACUCUACUGCAUCAUGGGUAAUAUAGUCCUUGGCUCCUCCGCCUACCCUCCAGUUCCCAUCUCUACUCUUCUAGGAAGCAGAGCUAAUAUGAUGCAAACGCUUGUUUUGUGGGAAGAUUGCAAACAGAAGAGAUGAAAUAGAUGGACAGGUCUUCACUCAGGCACGGCUCGGUUUCUGAUGGAUCUCCCAGUGCACUCUGGGAAAUGCGGUCCUCAGCUCUCCAGGCUCAUGAAGGCAACCACCUGCUCCAGCUUAUAGGCCAGUCUCUGUUUCCUGGCACCAUCAUCCUGCUCCAGAGCAGACACAAUCUGCCAGAGGGAGAUGACACAUCAGUUACACAUGCCUUGAAAUAACCACAUAUUCCUCUCAUCGGCACUUCUCUCUUUUAUUAUUAUUAUUUUUUAGUAUAAUAUCUCUUGGACAUGUUUUUAACAGGCAUAGUGGUGAUUUAACAGGUCCAUACCUCUUCUGUAUAUUUGCCCACAUAAGAGUAGAUCUCGCUUAGGGAGCUCAUGCUGUUGAACUCGUUCAUGUGCAUUCGGGACUGUUCUGCCAGAUAUGCGUUCAUAUCCUGAUCACUGAUCGCAGGCAUCUUACUAAUGUCAGAGUAAUAUCUGCAGAGAAACAUAGAGAAACAGAAAUAGCACAGGUUAUUUAAUGAACAUUUAGAACUUGGACAGGUGACAGGACUUCAGUUCUUGCAGUCUUUUUAUACUUCAUGUGGAAUAAGAAUAGCAUGUUUCAGGGUCAUUUCUGGGACAGAGUGAGAGGUGUCACGCCUCUCCCAAUCAGUUUGCCAUUCACUUUCUGUGGCAGUACAGCUGCGGCUUACAUCAGUGAGUGACUGUGAGUCUUAAUGAGCUGCUGUCCUUGAAAGUUUUCCAGAGAUCAGCGGAAUCUAUAGGAUGCUGGAAAUACUCAAUAAAUGUUUACCCAUGCA